AGUGAACGCUGGCGGUGUGCUUAACACAUGCAAGUCGAACGAGAACGGUACUAGCUUGCUAGUAUGUCAGCUAAGUGGCGGACGGGUGAGUAAUGUAUAGUUAAUCUGCCCCCUAGAGAGGGAUAACUACUGGAAACGGUAGCUAAUACCUCAUACUCCUUUUGCCUUAAUGGUAAUUGGGAAAUGUCUUUUCGCUAGGGGAUGAGACUAUAUGGUAUCAGGUAGUUGGUGGGGUAAAAGCCUACCAAGCCUAUGACGCCUAGCUGGUCUGAGAGGAUGAUCAGCCACACUGGAACUGAGACACGGUCCAGACUCCUACGGGAGGCAGCAGUGGGGAAUAUUGCACAAUGGGCGAAAGCCUGAUGCAGCAACACCGCGUGGAGGAUGACACAUUUCGGUGCGUAAACUCCUUUUAUAUGGGAAGAUAAUGACGGUACCAUAUGAAUAAGCACCGGCUAACUCCGUGCCAGCAGCCGCGGUAAUACGGAGGGUGCAGGCGUUACUCGGAAUCACUGGGCGUAAAGCGCGCGCAGGCGGUCUUUUAAGUUGGAUGUGAAAGCCUACGGCUCAACCGUAGAACUGCAUCCAAAACUAUUAGACUAGAGUGUGGGAGAGGAAGAUGGAAUUAGUUGUGUAGGGGUAAAAUCCGUAGAGAUAACUAGGAAUACCAAAAGCGAAGGCAAUCUUCUGGAACACUACUGACGCUGAGGCGCGAAAGCGUGGGGAGCAAACGGGAUUAGAUACCCCGGUAGUCCACGCAGUAAACGAUGAAUGUUAGUCGUCGGGGGCCUCGUGUCUUCGGUGAUGCAGCUAACGCAUUAAACAUUCCGCCUGGGGAGUACGGUCGCAAGAUUAAAACUCAAAGGAAUAGACG
rnacentral:rRNA from 1 species